rnacentral:rRNA from 1 species
UGUCCAGACUCCUACGGGAGGCAGCAGUGGGGAAUAUUGCACAAUGGGGGAAACCCUGAUGCAGCAACGCCGCGUGAGUGAAGAAGUCAUUCGUGAUGUAAAGCUCUAUCAGCAGGGAAGAAAAUGACGGUACCUGACUAAGAAGCCCCGGCUAACUACGUGCCAGCAGCCGCGGUAAUACGUAGGGGGCAAGCGUUAUCCGGAUUUACUGGGUGUAAAGGGAGCGUAGACGGUCCUGCAAGCCAGAUGUGAAAGCCCGGGGCUCAACCCCGGGACUGCAUUUGGAACUGUAAGGCUAGAGUGUCGGAGAGGCAGGCGGAAUUCCUAGUGUAGCGGUGAAAUGCGUAGAUAUUAGGAGGAACACCAGUGGCGAAGGCGGCCUGCUGGACGAUGACUGACGUUGAGGCUCGAAAGCGUGGGGAGCAAACAGGAUUAGAUACCCCCGUA